GGGUCCCAGCACCGGGAGCGGCUGAGCAGGGGGGACAUGCGGUGAAGUGGGGGUCCCAGCACGGGGAGCGGCUGCGCGGGGCGCGGAGCCGCAGCCACCGCCUGCCCACCCGGCCGAUCCGUGCCCGGCGUCCCCCGGGAGUGCCGCGUGCCCCGGUUACCGCAGCGAGUUCUCGCACGGUGCCCCAUUGUUCCGUGAGCGCGCGUACGGCCGCACAGCGCGGGUGGGACGCAGCCCACCCACCCCACCCACAGCACAGGGACUAGGGCGACAGGUCCCAGCCCGGGACCGGGCUCUCCCCUGGCCGCAGCGUCCCCGCGGCAACACAUCCCCAUGAAAAGCCUCAUUUUUUAGGUUGGCUUGUCCCUCACUACUUUUUCCUGCGAUCUCACACCGUUCCGCUGGGGCUGGGCAUCCCCCAGCCCGCCCGCUCAGCCUGUGCUGCCCCCUCUCCAUCGCUGCCUGAGCCUGUCCCGUUCCCAGUACAAGUGUCGGUUCCACUCGGAGACUCUUUUGUCUUUUUUUUUCCCCCCUUUAUUUUCUGUUGUUCCCCAGAAGUCGCUGCCUGAGAUGCUUUCCUGAGUUCCAGAGAUAAAUAAUGCACAGGAGCGAGGGCUCUGAUUACUCACUCCAGCAGCAUUUAGAGCAAAGAGCUCCAGCCACUGGGAGCUGAAUUCUUCCAGACGAAGCCCAUCUGGGUUCCCGUGCCCCAGGAGCCGGAGGAGUUCCCAGCAUCCCACACAUACUUGUGGGAUGAAUUGCUUGAAAUCGAAUGGGUUUUACUGGAAAUGCUGGACGAAAGCUGCCCAGGGUGCCUGGUGCAGGACAGCAGCACAUCCCUCAGCUCCUGCCCCAACCAGGCAGCAGCAUCUCUGACCCAGGCUUUUCACCCCAAAUCUUGAUGUGAGCCCCCAGAGAACAGUUUGUGGCUCGGAGGAGACUGUGCAGAGCUGGCAAGGAAGGAAAACCUCAGAAGGGCCACACCUGGGGAGAAGCGGGACGUGGCACACGGAGCUGGUGGCAGGUCUGGGGGAGAGAAGCUCCCAGCAGACAUCAAAAGAUCAGUUCUGAGCCCUGCAAUCAAUCCCAGCAGCUUUGGGGCUCUUCAGCAGCAUUCCAGUCUAACCGGGGCUGCCUUGCAUGAUAAUCAGGCUUAAUUACUGCUUUAUCACUCGAUUGCUGUGCUGGGCCCUUGGAGCUGCAGCGGGGCUUUGGCAGGUUACUUUUUGUAUUUCCUCCCCCUGCCUUCCCCAGCAGCACAAUUAACAAACAAGUGAAAACAGGGAGGGCCUGGGCAACACCCAGGAGGGAGAGAGGGGCAAUUUGCUGCCCAGGAGCCGCUGGGAUGAGAGUGGGGGGAAACCUGCAGCCCCUGGAGCCUCAAAACUGAGGUUUCCACCGCUGUCCUGCAGAUGAACCAGCAAGGUCAAUGCCAAGCCAGGGGCACAACCCCACGUCAGCCCCCUGAGCAGCAGCUUCCCAGGGGACAUGAGCAUCCCUGGAGGAGGGAGGGGAGGGUUGCUGGCCCAUUAAAGCCGUGACACACAG